GACCUCGGAUCGGGUAGGGAUACCCGCUGAACUUAAGCAUAUCAAUAAGCGGAGGAAAAGAAACCAACAGGGAUUGCCUUAGUAACGGCGAGUGAAGCGGCAACAGCUCAAAUUUGAAAUCUGGCUCUUUCAGGGUCCGAGUUGUAAUUUGUAGAAGAUGCUUCGGGUGUGGUACCGGUCUAAGUUCCUUGGAACAGGACGUCAUAGAGGGUGAGAAUCCCGUAUGUGACUGGUCACCUUCGCUCAUGUGAAGCUCUUUCGACGAGUCGAGUUGUUUGGGAAUGCAGCUCAAAAUGGGUGGUAAAUUUCAUCUAAAGCUAAAUAUUGGCCAGAGACCGAUAGCGCACAAGUAGAGUGAUCGAAAGAUGAAAAGCACUUUGGAAAGAGAGUUAAACAGUACGUGAAAUUGUUGAAAGGGAAGCGCUUGCAACCAG
rnacentral:rRNA from 1 species